GUCCACGCCCUAAACGAUGUCAACUAGGUGUUGGGUGGGUAAAACCAUUUAGUACCGAAGCUAACGCAUGAAGUUGACCGCCUGGGGAGUACGGCCGCAAGGUUAAAACUCAAAGGAAUUGACGGGGACCCGCACAAGCGGUGGAUGAUGUGGAUUAAUUCGACGCAACGCGAAAACCUUACCUACCCUUGACAUGUCAGGAACUUUCCAGAGAUGGAUUGGUGCCCGAAAGGGAACCUGAACACAGGUGCUGCAUGGCUGUCGU
rnacentral:rRNA from 1 species